CACGGACCCGCCAGAUUGAGUGCAAGCUGGCAAAUCAUUUAUUAACAGUCAAGCACACGUUUUUAUACUCCUCGAUUACAUAAGAGGUUACAUAAUCAUAGAGCACGUGCUAUUUCCCCAACGAUCAUUCUCGAAUUCUUCCAGUGGGCAUGAGCAGUCGAGCACUCUCUUCGUGGGCCUGCUGCAGAGACUACAUUUCCCAUCCUUCCUUGCGGUAAUCUUCCUGUAAGGUGUUAACCCUUACAGGAUGUUAACAGCUGAGUUAACACUGUAAUUUAUUCUUCUUCUAUCCUCAGUCCUUGCUCUGUCCUUCCACUGCUGUUUUGGAUCUUAUCCCUUUUGCCUUUAAGUUGAAUUAUUUUUUCUCUGUGUAGCUUCAGUGUCACUACUGCAAUCAUGAAACUUUGAACAGAAGAAGAAAAAAGUAAAGGUUUGGAGGUAAAUGUGAUACAACAAAGAGCAGGGGCUUUCUCCAGCCAGUUGACAUUACACAAGAAUGAAAGUUUGAGUCCUAGGAAACGUCAACACUCAGAUACUAAAUCCGAACUGCAAGACAAGAGGGCUGGUCACAGUGGAAGAAGUAAAUUGACAAAGAGGUGGGAUAGUGAGGAAGGGAUGAGUGGAGGAUUCAUUCUUGCAGGAUUUGAAAAUGGGGUACUGGAACAAUAGCUGAAUGAACAAAAUGGCUCUAUCCCCAAAGACAAGCAGGGGAAGGAGAGAACUAAUGAAGAAACUAAAAAAAGACAGACAACAGUGUGAGUCAAAAAGAAUGGUAAGAGUAGAGACGGAAGAUGUAGAAACAAUAGCUGUGAUAUGAUUGCUUCAGCAGAGUAGGUAUUUCAUCCUAUGUUUAAGUGUGUUUAUAUGUUACAAGACUCUUGUACUAAGGGUAAAAAAAAGAAAAAUAUUGGCAUUGAACAAAGAGCUAAAUCAUACAUUUUCGCUCCCUGAGCAGUCAAAAAGUGUUCCUCUUGUUAGCCUUUGGGUCAGUUUCAUUUGAAGUACACUGAAAUUGAUAUCAAAUAUGUGUAACCUAGAUAUUUUGCUUCUGGUUAAAGAAAGUGACAGAAGACUUCAAUAAUGAAAGACAGUAUGUGUAGAAAUUCUAAGAACUAAAUUAUUUGUUGUUUGCUUUAUAUUUUUAAUCCUC